AAUACUACAUUAAGGCACACAGUGAAUGCCCUGACAUCUAUACCCGAAGAAGGACGCGCCAAACUGCGAUAUGCUUGGAGAAGCUGUUUAGAAGCGCCAUACUCCAAGAUUUCCGAAUGGGGAAACCCCACCUUUUAAGGUGAUCCGCCUCUGGCGGAAGGACACUCUGUGAACUGAAAUAUCUCAGUAGCAGAGGAAAAGAAAUCAAAUACGAGAUUCCCUGAGUAGUGACGAGCGAAACGGGAACAGUCUAAACCACCCCACUGUAAGGACAGACCGUUGGUGCGGUGGUGUUGCGAGGUAUAUUUACUGCAAUCUGUAAAGCAGACAAUGUGUGUUCCGUGAAGAAAAAUUACCUGGGAAGGUAAGCCAAAGAGGGUUACAGCCCCGUAUUCAUAAGCGCGUACAUAUGUUGCAAUAUAUUCUCAAGUAAGAUCGGACACGUGAAAUCCGGUUUGAAUCUGGGUCGACCAUGAUCCAAGACUAAAUACUAUAGAUGAUCGAUAGCGAACUAGUACCAUGAGGGAAAGGUGAAAAGAACCCCGAGAGGGGAGUGAAAUAGAACCUGAAACUGUGUGCUGAUGAAGAGUGGGAGCUUAUAGAGCAAUCUAUUUAGUGACCGCGUACUUUUUGUAGAACGGACCAACGACUUAGUUGUAUGUGGCAAGGUUAAGGAAGAAACAUCCGGAGCCGAAGCGAAAGCGAGUCUGAAUAGGGCGCUAAGUCACGUACACUAGACCCGAAACCGGGAGAGCUACCCAUGAGCAGGAUGAAGUUCGACGAAAGUCGAAUGGAGGUCCGAACCAUUUAGAGCUGCAAGUCUAUUGGAUGACUCGUGGGUUGGAGUGAAAAGCUAAUCGAUCUCGGAGAUAGCUGGUUCUCCGCGAAAUAUAUUUAGGUAUAGCCGUAUUUAUCAAAGUAAGGGGGGUAGAGCACUAUUUGGACUAGUUGAGGUGAAUAACCUUUGCAAAUCCUGAUAAACUCCGAAUACCCUUAUCCAUGGAAUACGAGGCAGACUGCGACGGAUAAGCGCCGUAGUCGAGAGGGAAACAGCCCAGACUCCUAACUAAGGUCCCUAAUUUUUGAUUAAGUGGUAAAGGAAGUGGGAUUACUCAGACAGCCAGGAGGUUGGCUUAGAAGCAGCCAUUCCUUUAAAGAGUGCGUAACAGCUCACUGGUCGAGUGAUUCUGCGCCGAAAAUUCAACGGGGCUCAAAUUAAAAACCGAAGUUGGAGAUGUAAUAAAUAUAAUUAUUGCGUGGUAGCGGAGCGUUCCCCAUGCCGAUGAAGGUGAAUCGUGAGAUUUGCUGGAGGUACGGGAAGUGAAAAUGUUGGUAUGAGUAACGUAAAUGGAGUGAAAACCUCCAUCGCCGAAUGACUAAGGUUUCCUGUCCCAUGGCAGUCAUGGCAGGGUGAGUCGGUCCUAAGGUGUAGCCGAUAGGCGGAACCGAUGGAUAUCAGGUUAAUAUUCCUGAACUUUUUAUUCGCGUGUGCAGACUGUGACGGAUCGUGUUAUCGGAGCCACUAAUGAUUUAUGGUUUGGUAUUCAAGUCUUCGGGCGAGAAUAUUAACUCUUUUUCGGCUGACUUCGGUCAGUUUGAGGAGGAAGUCCUACGAUAAUAUGAUUCCAAGAAAAGCUAUCUGUAUUGAAUAAAAAACCGUACCGGAAUCGAACACACGUAGUCAGGUGUAAGUACACUAAGGCGUAUGGGAUAACUAUGCUUAAGGAACUCUGCAAAAAAACGUCCGUAACUUCGGGAGAAGGGCUCCCAUUAGUAUAAUUCAUGCUAGUGGGUUCAACGAACGAGCUCAGGCGACUGUUUACCAAAAACACAGCUCUCUGCUAAGGCGUAAGCCGAUGUAUAGGGGGUGAUGCCUGCCCAGUGCCAGAAGAUCACGAGGAGAGGUGCAAGCCUUGAAUCCAAGUCCUGGUGAACGGCGGCCGUAACUAUAACGGUCCUAAGGUAGCGAAAUUCCUUGUCGGGUAAGUUCCGACCCGCACGAAUGGCAUAACGAUCUGAGCACUGUCUCAAGCAUAGACCCAGUGAAAUUGUAAUAUCGGUAAAAAUACCGAUUACUCACAGCAAGACGGA
rnacentral:rRNA from 1 species